rnacentral:rRNA from 1 species
CCCUUAGAUGUUCUGGGCCGCACGCGCGCUACACUGAUGCAUUCAACGAGCAUAACCUUGGCCGAAAGGUCUGGGUAAUCUCCAAAUUUCGUCGUGAUGGGGAUAGAUUAUUGCAAUUAUUAAUCUUCAACGAGGAAUGCCUAGUAAGCGCAAGUCAUCAGCUUGCGUUGAUUACGUCCCUGCCCUUUGUACACACCGCCCGUCGCUCCUACCGAUUGAAUGGUCCGGUGAAGCGUUCGGACCGUGGCCUUUGGACGGUUCGCCGUCUGUUGGCUGCGGGAAGUUCGUUAAACCUUAUCAUUUAGAGGAAGGAGAAGUCGUAACA